UCUGCAUUUUUUUAAUUUUUUGUUUGUUUUCAUUUGGGUUCGUUCUUAAUAAAAUUAUUAUUAUGAUUAGUUCGACGAAAUUUUGUGUGAUAGUUUUUUGUUUUUGAAGAAGUACAGCAUUAGUAGGAGGAGGAAGAGGAAGAGGUGAAGGAGAAGAAAGAAGGGUGGAUCAUUUUUUUUUUGUCUAAAUCAGUUCGUAGCCGUACGAGAUUAGAAAAUUCGUUCAAGGUUACGAAUCAUCGUUCAACAAAUACUACGCUUUGCUUCUUUUAACCGAUACGAGGUCAACGUGAAACUUACUACCACUUUGCUGUGCAUUUUUCUGUCUGUCUGUCUGUCUGUCCGUUUGUCUGUACGGUUGUUUAUCUCUUGUCUGUCUCUCCCUCUCUCUUUCUCUCUUCCUCACACACACGUACACACACCCAACGUAUGUACACGAACGCAAGAGCAUAAACAACGUUUUACUCUUUCGAGUUGGUCUUUCGACGAAGGCGCAACAACAACGACACCUUUUUCCUCGACCUGGUUUUCCCAUACCGCAUAUAUCAAGAAAACGAUGAUUAGAUGCGAUAUUUGAUUAGUAUGACGUGCAACUGGCUAGCUCGCAUAUCUAAACAAAACAAAGAAAAACACGUUAUGUUUUUGUGUUUGUCUUCCUUCUUGUGUGUUGUAUAUAAUAAAAAUGUUGCGUGUUGAGUUUCGUUUGAAAUGUA